AGCAGCAGCAGCAGCGGCAGCAGGAGGAGGGAGGGAGGAGAGGAGAUAGCGGGUCGGGCGAUUCAUGAACCGGGUCGGGUCGAGGAGGAGGAGUGCGGCGGAUGGCUUGCCAUAUCUGGGGAUUUCACCUCGAAUCCGCCAUUUAUGGAAAAUCGAUCUUUCUGCCCCCACCUCGAUUGCGUGUCUUUCGAUGGAGCGAUUGAGUUCGCGAAGAACGAGCGCGCUGACGACGUCGCCUCAGAAUCAAAGAUUGGAGAGGGAUUCUUGCGCCUAGAAGUUUUGCUUUCGAUGCUUACAGCGUUUUGAAGAAAAUUCCC
rnacentral:lncRNA from 1 species